CCCAGCACCCUGGUUACACUGCUCUGCACUUGUGUGAGCCCAGCUGCCUGUCAGUGUGCUGUUUCACAGGUGUACCAAGUGCACAGAAUUUAGCAAAACUGUGACCUGAGCCCUCAGCCUGGCACUCAUUAGCAGCAGGCUCAGCCCUCAGCACCGCCUGGUGCAUACUAACAACUUGUUUUCAUCCUUCCAGGGCAUGGGAACUGCCUGGGAUCCUCAGCCAUUCCUCGUGUGGCUGCUCGGGGUGCUGGGGCAGCCCUUGGGGUUUUGGGAGGUGACAGGUGAUCACAUUUACAAGAGGGGAAAAAAAGGAAAAUAUCACUUGUUCAGAAGAUUCUUCACAGAAUUUGUGAUAACUCUCCAAAUUCUGAAGCCUGCUGAAAUUUUCCUUGACAGCCUAAACCAGAAUGUGCAGUUCCACCUGAGGCAUUCAAAGGCUUUUACACUUGCGAAUCUUUAGCAUUAUCUUGAGAAGCAAACUGUCCUUUUGCAAUGAAUCCCCGACAAUGUAUUAGUUCAGCUGUGCAUUUACUGGGGGAUAAAGGCUUUCUUCUGUGAGCAGUGGGAAAACCAGAGAGGCAAACAAAAAUCAGCCAUGUUCUGCAGCCCUAGACCAAAAAACUUGUCGUUUCCUGAGCCAGCAUUGCCCAGCACAGUUGCAGGCAGCCAGUGACACCUUCAGCAUGGAAAGUUAUAUGGGACUAAUUUGUGUCCUAGACCAAGUUUCCAUCCCUGUUUUUCUCACCAGGGCUUGAAGAGGGAUCACUGUACUCUGUGUUGAGUAUAAUAUAUAAUAUCUAUUUGUAAAAAAUACAACCUGAUGAUAAAAUGCUUGCCUAGGGAGUGGGAUAGAGUAGUCCAGGCUCUUCGCAGCUUGCGGUGAUUUAAAACCAUUUUUACUGUCCGGAGAAACAGGCAAUUGUGAUGAGAUUUAAAAAAAAAAAAAAAAAAAAAAAUAGUCUACCCUUUGCUCUCCCAGCCCUGGCAUUUGGGUAGAUGCUUAGAUAAGGGUCCCAGCAGGUUGCAGCUGAUCUGCCCCAUGAGAGAGCACUCUGUGAGGAGGGAGUGAAGUCAGGGUCGGGAGGGGAACAGGGCAAAGCAGCCACACAGCAGCAGGUUUAGCUCUAUUUUUGGGGGUGGCAGGGGCAGACUCUGGGAAGCAUCGCAGUGCCUGCCUUGGGGAGGAGUUGUUCUAACCCUGGGGAGGCUCAGAGCCUGUCUUUUCCGUUGUCUCCCCCUCUUCUGAUUAAAGCCUGCUUGCUGUUUUCUUCUCAGUGGAAAGCAGUAGCUGUGAGCGCUCAGCAUUUUCACCAGAAAGAGAAGGAGCUGUU